GACGAACGCUGGCGGCGUGCUUAACACAUGCAAGUCGAGCGAGAAACCUUCGGGUUUCUAGCGGCGGACGGGUGAGUAACACGUGGGUAACCUGCCUCAAAGAGGGGGAUAGCCUCCCGAAAGGGAGAUUAAUACCGCAUAAAAUCAUAGCUUCGCAUGAAGUAAUGAUUAAAGGAGUAAUCCGCUUUGAGAUGGACCCGCGUCGCAUUAGCUAGUUGGAGAGGUAACGGCUCACCAAGGCGACGAUGCGUAGCCGACCUGAGAGGGUGAUCGGCCACAUUGGAACUGAGACACGGUCCAGACUCCUACGGGAGGCAGCAGUGGGGAAUAUUGCACAAUGGGCGAAAGCCUGAUGCAGCAACGCCGCGUGAGUGAAGAAGGUCUGAUUGUAAAACUCUGUCUUUUGGGACGAUAAUGACGGUACCAAAGGAGGAAGCCACGGCUAACUACGUGCCAGCAGCCGCGGUAAUACGUAGGUGGCAAGCGUUGUCCGGAUUUACUGGGCGUAAAGGAUGUGUAGGCGGAUAUUUAAGUGAGAUGUGAAAUCCCCGGGCUCAACUUGGGGCGUGCAUUUCAAACUGGAUAUCUAGAGUGCAGGAGAGGAAAGCGGAAUUCCUAGUGUAGCGGUGAAAUGCGUAGAGAUUAGGAAGAACAUCAGUGGCGAAGGCGGCUUUCUGGACUGUAACUGACGCUGAGGCAUGAAAGCGUGGGGAGCAAACAGGAUUAGAUACCCUGGUAGUCCACGCCGUAAACGAUGAGUACUAGGUGUAGGAGGUAUCGACUCCUUCUGUGCCGCAGUUAACACAAUAAGUACUCCGCCUGGGAAGUACGGUCGCAAGAUUA
rnacentral:rRNA from 1 species